CAGCAGCCGCGGUAAUACGAAGGGGGCUAGCGUUGCUCGGAAUGACUGGGCGUAAAGGGCGCGUAGGCGGAUUGUUUGGUUAGGCGUGAAAUUCCUGGGCUUAACCUGGGGACUGCGCUUAAUACAGGCAGUCUAGAGUGAGGAAGAGGGUUGUGGAAUUCCCAGUGUAGAGGUGAAAUUCGUAGAUAUUGGGAAGAACACCGGUGGCGAAGGCGGCAACCUGGUCCUUGACUGACGCUGAGGCGCGAAAGCGUGGGGAGCAAACAGGAUUAGAUACCCCAGUAGUCCCUGUCUCUUAUAC
rnacentral:rRNA from 1 species